rnacentral:rRNA from 1 species
ACGGGCCCCGCACAAGCAGCGGAGCGUGUGGUUUAAUUCGAUGCUACACGAAGAGCCUUACCAGGGUUUGACAUACAAGUAGUAGGGAAAGGAAACUGGACCGACCCUUCGGGGAGCUUGUACAGGUGCUGCAUGGCUGUCGUCAGCUCGUGUCGUGAGAUGUUCGGUUAAGUCCGCUAACGAGCGCAACCCUCGCUGUGUGUUACAAGUGUCACACGGAACUGCCGGUCAUAAACCGGAGGAAGGUGGGAUGACGUCAAGUCAGCAUGGCCUUUAUAUCCUGGGCUACACACACGCUACAAUGGGAAGGGACAAUAGGUUGCGAAGCCGCGAGGCGGAGCCAAUCCAGCAAAACUUCCCUCAGUUCAGAUUGCAGGCUGCAACCCGCCUGCAUGAAGUUGGAGUUGCUAGUAAACGCAGGUCAGCCAUACUGCGUUGAAUACGUUCCCGGGGCUU